rnacentral:rRNA from 1 species
GACGAACGCUGGCGGCGUGCUUAACACAUGCAAGUCGAGCGGUAAGGCCCUUUCGGGGGUACACGAGCGGCGAACGGGUGAGUAACACGUGGGUGACCUGCCCUCAGCUCUGGGAUAAGCCUGGGAAACCGGGUCUAAUACCGGAUAUGACUCCAUGACGCAUGUUGUGGGGUGAAAGCCUUGUGCGGCUGAGGAUGGGCCCGCGGCCUAUCAGCUUGUUGGUGGGGUGAUGGCCUACCAAGGCGACGACGGGUAGCCGGCCUGAGAGGGCGACCGGCCACACUGGGACUGAGACACGGCCCAGACUCCUACGGGAGGCAGCAGUGGGGAAUCUUGCGCAAUGGGCGAAAGCCUGACCCAGCGACGUCGCGUU